UUACGGAGUCCUUGCUUGGGAUUAUUGUGUUGUUAAUGGUGACCUGGGGGCAGGUUUGUUUUCGGAGCGUGAAGGUUACAUGAGAGGAUUUUUUUCGUUUAUUUUGAAGCCCCAUUUUUGGAACCACUUUUCCAUGGUGUCGAGACUUCGCUGGAGAGUGGAUGAGGCAAUUGCCGGGUCUGCGUGGGUAGCUAAUAGAGCUGUGUCGUCGGCAAAUGUUGCUAUUGUUACCUCGUUUGAUAUAGGUAAGAUUUUAAGAUGGAGUAGUAUGGGUGGGGUAGGAUUUUUUAAGCUUGUAGAGUAGCCCUUCAUGCCAUACUUUGUCGAAUGCCUGUCGGAUGUCUAGGAAUACCGCUGAACAGUAUUUUUUCUUUUCAAGGGUUUGACUGAUCAUGUGGGUUAUGCGGUGGAUUUGCUCUACUGUUGAGUGUUGUUUUCGGAAGCCGAAUUGGUGGUCUGGGAGUGUUUUCAAUUCUUCUAGGAGUGGGAGGAGACGAUUCGUGAGCAUCCUCUCGAAUAGUUUAGACAAGGUAGGUAAGAGACUGAUUGGGCGAUAAGAGGUGGU
rnacentral:misc_RNA from 1 species